rnacentral:rRNA from 1 species
UACGAAGGGGGCUAGCGUUGCUCGGAAUUACUGGGCGUAAAGGGCGCGUAGGCGGUACAGUUUAGUCAGAGGUGAAAGCCCAGGGCUCAACCUUGGAAUUGCCUUUGAUACUGACUGUCUUGAGUUCGGGAGAGGGUGAGUGGAAUGCCGAGUGUAGAGGUGAAAUUCGUAGAUAUUCGGCGGAACACCAGUGGCGAAGGCGACUCACUGGCCCGAGUACUGACGCUGAGGCGCGAAAGCGUGGGGAGCAAACAGGG